rnacentral:rRNA from 1 species
GUCGAACGAACCUUCGGGUUAGUGGCGGACGGGUGAGUAACGCGUGAGAAUCUGCCCUCAGGAGGGGGAUAACGGCUGGAAACGGCCGCUAAUACCCCAUAUGCCGAGAGGUGAAAUGAAUUUCGCCUGAGGAUGAGCUCGCGUCUGAUUAGCUAGUUGGUGGGGUAAGAGCCUACCAAGGCUUCGAUCAGUAGCUGGUCUGAGAGGAUGAUCAGCCACACUGGGACUGAGACACGGCCCAGACUCCUACGGGAGGCAGCAGUGGGGAAUUUUCCGCAAUGGGCGAAAGCCUGACGGAGCAACGCCGCGUGAGGGAUGAAGGCCUCUGGGCUGUAAACCUCUUUUCUCAAGGAAGAAGAUCUGACGGUACUUGAGGAAUAAGCCACGGCUAAUUCCGUGCCAGCAGCCGCGGUAAUACGGGAGUGGCAAGCGUUAUCCGGAAUUAUUGGGCGUAAAGCGUCCGCAGGCGGCCUCGUAAGUCUGUCGUUAAAGCGUGGAGCUUAACUCCAUUUCAGCGAUGGAAACUGCGAGGCUAGAGUGUGGUAGGGGCAGAGGGAAUUCCCGGUGUAGCGGUGAAAUGCGUAGAUAUCGGGAAGAACACCAGUGGCGAAGGCGCUCUGUUGGGCCAUAACUGACGCUCAUGGACGAAAGCCAGGGGAGCGAAAGGGAUUAGAUACCCCCUGUAGUCCUGGCCGUAAACGAUGAACACUAGGUGUCGGGGGAAUCGACCCCCCUCGGUGUCGUAGCCAACGCGUUUAAGUGUUCCGCCUGGGGAGUACGCACGCAAG